GAUCCUGGCUCAGGAUGAACGCUGGCGGCGUGCCUAACACAUGCAAGUCGAGCGAAGCGGUUUUAAGGAAGUUUUCGGAUGGAAUUAAAACUGACUGAGCGGGCGGACGGGUGAAGGUAACGCGUGGGUAACCUGCCUCAUACAGGGGGAUAACAGUUAGAAAUGGCUGCUAAUACCGCAUAAGCACACAGCUUCGCAUGGAGCAGUGUGAAAAACUCCGGUGGUAUGAGAUGGACCCGCGU
rnacentral:rRNA from 1 species